rnacentral:rRNA from 1 species
AGACGGAGGGGGCUAGCGUUAUUCGGAAUUACUGGGCGUAAAGGGCGCGUAGGCGGAUUAGUAAGUUGGGAGUGAAAGCCCGGGGCUUAACCUCGGAACUGCUUUCAAAACUGCUAGUCUUGAGUGAAGUAGGGGGUGAUGGAAUUCCUAGUGUAGAGGUGAAAUUCUUAGAUAUUAGGAGGAACACCGGUGGCGAAGGCGGUCACCUGGACUUCAACUGACGCUGAGGCGCGAAAGCGUGGGUAGCAAACAGGAUUAGAAACCCUAGUAGUCC